UGCGUAGGCGGAUUAAUAAGUCAGUGGUGAAAACCUUCAGCUUAACUGGAGAACUGCCAUUGAUACUGUUAGUCUUGAGUACGGUCAAGGUAGGCGGAAUGUGUAAUGUAGCGGUGAAAUGCUUAGAUAUUACACAGAACACCGAUUGCGAAGGCAGCUUACUGGGCCAUUACUGACGCUGAUGCACGAAAGCGUGGGGAGCGAACAGGAUUAGAUACCCUGGUAGUCC
rnacentral:rRNA from 1 species